rnacentral:lncRNA from 1 species
AGGAUUCUUUGCCUUAGGCUUGGGUGCUUCUUCCUCCUCUUCAAACUUUGGUUCUUCCUUCUUAACCUCUUUCUUUGGCUCCUCCUUUGCUUUGGGUUUUGCAGGUUCCUUCACCAGUGCAGGCUUCUUGGAUUGGGGCGCUGGGAUAGAUUCAGCUUGUUUCACUUCACCCAAUAUCUUGCAGAAAUUUGGCUGAUUAACGACAGUCCAGAAGUAUCUCUGCUGGUGCAGGCUUCUUGGACGGGGGCGCCGGGAUAGAUUCAGCUUGUUUCACCUCGCCCAAUAUCUUGCAGAAAUUUGGCUGAUUAACCACAGUCCAGAAGUAUCUCUCUACAUGUGGGAAUUCCUUGGUAAAGGUCUUAGUCAUUAU